GCUGCUUCUCCUUAGAACUCGCUGCAGGAUUAUUUUGGCCAAAUUAAAUCGCGGGAGACAAACUCACUCACCGUAGAUCAACAGGCGAGGACAAGGUUUUCUCCCACCCCCUUGCGAGACUUCACAUCCAACAUUAGUUGUGGCCUCGUAGCCAAGACCAGAAUUAAUUGCCCCUUCAUAGAUGCCCUCCCUCUUACACUCCCUGCAGUCCUUCUGAUGGUGAUCCUAGAGAGUAAGCCACCAAGGAGGGAGGAAAAGAGAAUCUGAACUCUGAGAGACAGAUGAAAGCAAAAUAAAAUACUGUCUGUCCUUUGUGUCGCCAUUAUGGGUACGGAUCAGCAUCUAUGAAUUAUCAAGGUCCAUCUCGACCCUGACUGCUAUUGAUAGCUCAGUCCUAGAUUGAUGAAAGAAGGAAACAGAAAGAGAGCAAGCAAGAAAGAAGGAAAAUAAAUGAAAGUGAGAGAGAGAAAAAUAAAGACAGACGCAAUGGAUGGAAGAAAAAAGGAAGAGCAUUUUUUAAAAAUCAAAAUACAUUAACCUGAUGAAAAUUAAUCGGAUACAAAUUUAAAGGAACAUGCAGGAAAAUGCUAUGUUUCGAAUGAACGUUGACAAGCUCAUUCAAAUGAAACAUGUUCCCAGCUCUGUUACCAUCCGUCACUUGGAAUGGUCCAAUGGCUAAGCA